rnacentral:misc_RNA from 1 species
GAUGAAGAACGCAGCGAAAUGCGAUAAGUAAUGUGAAUUGCAGAAUUCAGUGAAUCAUCGAGUCUUUGAACGCACAUUGCGCCCCCUGGUAUUCCGGGGGGCAUGCCUGUCCGAGCGUCAUUGCUGCCCAUCAAGCGCGGCUUGUGUGUUGGGCCGCCGUCCGCCUUCCCCCCCGGGGGGAGGGGGACGGGCCCGAAAGGCAGCGGCGGCACCGCGUCCGGUCCUCGAGCGUAUGGGGCUCUGUCACCCGCUCUGGAGGCCCGGCCGGCGCCCGCCGACCCCCAACCUUCUUCUAACCAGGUUGACCUCGGAUCAGGUAGGGAUACCCGCUGAACUUAAGCAUAUCAAUAAGCGGAGGA